rnacentral:lncRNA from 1 species
UGGGCUGUUAUUGAGUAGAAAGAGAAACGUGAGUGAGUGAUGAGAGAGAGAUGUGUGAGUUAGUGGGUGAGUAAAUGAGUGGGUAGAGAGUGGAUCUUUUUUUUGUUUUUUGUCUUUUCCUUUUCUACUAGCUGUCAACAACUUUCAUUUUCUCCUCAUAAAGCCGUUGGAGAGUUUUCAAAAUUUUAUUAUUGUUUUUUUUAAUUCAUACUAUUAUUAAUUUGGUUGUUUAUGAUUGGUAUAGAG